AGAGUUUGAUCAUGGCUCAGAACAAACGCUGGCGGCGUGGUUUAGGCAUGCAAGUCGAGCGCGAAAGUUCCUUCGGGAACGAGUAGAGCGGCGAAAGGGUGAGUAAUGCUUGGGCAACUUACCCCUUGGACCGGGAUAGCCUCUGGAAACGGGGGGUAAUACCGGAUGGUCUCGAAGGAGCUGCGGCUCUUUCGAGUAAAGGUGGGCUUCGGCUCGCGCCAGGGGAGAGGCUCGAGUCCUACCAGCUUGUUGGUGAGGUAAUGGCUCACCAAGGCGAAGACGGGUAGCCGGACUGAGAGGUUGGCCGGCCACACUGGCACUGAGACACUGGCCAGACUCCUACGGGAGGCUGCAGUCGAGAAUCUUCCGCAAUGGGCGAAAGCCUGACGGAGCGACGCCGCGUGGAGGAAGAAGGCCUUCGGGUUGUAAACUCCUGUCAGAGUUUAAGAAACCAGGAUGGUUAAUACCCAUUCUGCUGACAAAGGACUCAAAGGAAGCCACAGCUAACUUCGUGCCAGCAGCUGCGGUAAUACGAAGGUGGCAAGCGUUGUUCGGAUUCACUGGGCAUAAAGGGCGCGUAGGCUGUCCUGUAAGCGGUGUGUGAAAGCCCGGGGCUCAACCCCGGAACUGCAUACCGAACUGCAGGACUAGAGGACGAGAGGGGAGCAUGGAACUCUAGGUGGAGCGGUGAAAUGCGUAGAUAUCUAGAGGAACGCCGGUGGCGAAAGCGAUGCUCUGGCUCGCCCCU
rnacentral:rRNA from 1 species